AUUCUGUGAUGCUGUGACUGAAGGUUUCUGCUGUCCAUGUGUACUGUACAAAAAUGAGCAAAGGUGUUUCUUCUAAGAACUGAAGGAUGAGGUCCCUCAAACCAGAAGCUAAACAUCAAUUUGGUGGUUAAAUAUGGAGAAGAAAGAACUUGACCAAACAGAAUGAGUGGAAUUUGAAAUAAAAAUAGUGUGGUAUGGCCAUUUAGGGACCCAUUUAGGGCCUUGCAGAAAAUUCCGCUCUUUCUGCAGGCAUGCAUGUUUUAAAACAGAAUAAAAAACAAUCACUGUUUCUACGUUCUCUUAAA